AAUAUUUGGGAUUUAUCUCAUACCAUUCAAAAUUUUAGAUUUCCCACAUCCCUAACCCUAACCCCGAACCCCCAAAUCUGACCAGUUUGCUCACAUCCUCUCUUUACCAGUCUCCAUUGCUUCCCAAAUCACGUCUCCAUUGCUUCCCAAAUCAUGGAACGAUCACCGUGAACGGUUGAGCACCACCACCACACUUCUUCCUAUUCAUAUUGGGAAGGCCCUUUGAUCCUCGUUCAACAGCCUUUCAUCUCGUUCAACCAUUCAGUUAGCCACUUUGAUCGAUUGCUUCACUGAGAAAUUUACUACAAAGGAGCGGAGCAGUUAUCGAGUUUUGGGGGCUUUAUUUUCUAACUUCCCCAUUUCGUUCUGUUUGAUUCGAGUUACUAAGUUUUGGGGGCGAGAGUCGAUUCUAGAAUUAGAGCAGAGUAGUCGUGAGUCUACUUUUCUAGGAAUCAAGAAUUCAAGCAAUUAAACUGAAAAAUGAUGACCUGCACAAGAAAUUACCGACUUUAAUGAAGGUGUUUGAACAUACAUGUAAAGGGAUAUAAGGGCGUGUAUAUGUUGCUACAUAUGAUGACACGACAAGGAAUAUUGAACAAAAGAAGACCUACAAAAGUGCUUCGGAGGAUCCUUUUAUGAUUGUGAUGAACAAAGUAGAUGGUGCUUACACGUCAUACAUGAUUAUAGAGUAGUUGAUGGAACCAAUCAAAGCAAACGUUGAAGUUUAGAAAUUCCAAGGGGAUCAUGAUAGAAAUCUAUCCGAGCUCAAAGUUACGUGAAAAGAUAUUGACAGACAAUAACUAAACAUGGAAAGCUAUUAUGCGGAAGGUUAUGAAACGACUGUUAGUUGAAGAUAGAGAUGAGUCAAUUUUUUCAUUUAUAUUUUUUAUUGUAAUCAACACUUUGUGUAGAGUAUAUUGUUACUUGAGUUUGAACAAGUAUGUUAAUGUACACGUUUUGACUAUUUAUAAUAUUUUUGCUAUUAUUUUUUGGC
rnacentral:lncRNA from 1 species